rnacentral:rRNA from 1 species
CUACGGGGGGCUGCAGUGGGGAAUCUUAGACAAUGGGCGCAAGCCUGAUCUAGCCAUGCCGCGUGAGUGAAGAAGGCCCUAGGGUCGUAAAGCUCUUUCGCCAGGGAUGAUAAUGACAGUACCUGGUAAAGAAACCCCGGCUAACUCCGUGCCAGCAGCCGCGGUAAUACGGAGGGGGUUAGCGUUGUUCGGAAUUACUGGGCGUAAAGCGCGCGUAGGCGGAUUGGAAAGUUGGGGGUGAAAUCCCGGGGCUCAACCCCGGAACUGCCUCCAAAACUCCCAGUCUUGAGUUCGAGAGAGGUGAGUGGAAUUCCGAGUGUAGAGGUGAAAUUCGUAGAUAUUCGGAGGAACACCAGUGGCGAAGGCGGCUCACUGGCUCGAUACUGACGCUGAGGUGCGAAAGUGUGGGGAGCAAACAGGAUUAGAUACCCCCGUAGUC